rnacentral:rRNA from 1 species
UACGAAGGGGGCGAGCGUUGUUCGGAUUUACUGGGCGUAAAGGGCGCGCAGGCGGCGCAUUUUGUCAGGCGUGAAAGCCCCGGGCUUAACUCCGGAAUUGCCAUUGAAACUGUUUGGCUCGAGUACGAGAGAGGUGAGUGGAAUUCCCAGUGUAGAGGUGAAAUUCGUAGAUAUUGGGAAGAACACCGGUGGCGAAGGCGGCUCACUGGCUCGUAACUGACGCUCAUGCACGACAGCGUGGGGAUCAAACAGG